rnacentral:rRNA from 1 species
CGCCUCUUGUUAAGAUAUAANAGGUCCAGCCUGCCCAGUGACCUAGUUCAACGGCCGCGGUACCCUAACCGUGCGAAGGUAGCAUAAUCACUUGUCCUUUAAAUAGGGACUUGUAUCAACGGCACCACGAGGGCUUCACUGUCUCCUCUCUCCAAUCAGUGAAACUGAUCCUCCCGUGAAGAAGCGGAAAUAAACCUAUAAGACGAGAAGACCCCAUGGAGCUUAAGACCAAUCAUGCACCUUAUUACCCCUUAAAUCAUCUUAUGUUAAAAUCCUGCAUGAUAGCCUUAGGUUGGGGAGACCACGGAGUAUAACUCAACCUCCAUGACAAACGGACCAAAUCCUUAUCCACGAGCUACACCUCUAAGAAUUAAUAAAUUAAUGUUAAUGACCCAAUUAUUUGAUUAACGAACCAAGUUACCCUGGGGAUAACAGCGCAAUCUACUUCAAGAGCCCCUAUCGACAAGUAGGUUUACGACCUCGAUGUUGGAUCAGGGUAUCCUGGUGGUGCAACCGCUACCAAAGGUUCGUUUGUUCAACGAUUAAAACCCU